UCUGGGCGGUCCCUGGCGAGCUGGGGGCGUGGUUAGGGGCGUGGCCAGACCACAGCCCCCGCCUCCGGGGGCGGACGGGGCGGGCCACGCCGCGUGCGUGCGCGCGGGCUGCGCAUGCGCGAAGGGCACCGCGUCCUCGCUGCUCUGGCUGCAGUAGCUGAGGGUCCAUCGCGCCGAGCGUCCUCCUCGCCUGCGGUGGGCGGCGGCGGCCUCGGGUGAGGUCGGGUAAAGGGCAGCAGGGAAGUCUGGGGCCAGGGGGGCCUGGAAGCUCUCUGAGUAGCCAUUGGCCGCCGGCUGCCCCUGUGCCUGAGGACGGCUUUUGCAUCCUGACGUCACCACCCGGCCCCCGCCUCACGUGUUGCAGCCCCCAGGUCGCCUCUGCAGACGUACCCGGCAACUUACUGCCUGUGAGGCUGUGUCCUGACACCCGCCGGAUGCCAAACGCUGUGCGGAGUGACUUCGAUUUUUGCAACAGCCCUGCAAGGCCGGCCCAUGGCGGAUUCAGCUGGUUCAAGCGAAACUUCCUACCUGCUCCCUCCAAACAGGGAGGACUGGGAAGAGCACAGCAUCCCUGACUUUGUCUUUGGACAGAAGGAACUCUCCCGGGAAGCGAUUCAGUGGCCCAGGACCGCGCCCAGCCUCCCGGACACCCUGCCUCUGUCUCGUUUUGACUCGGCGCUCUGCUCUGCCUGGAGACAGCGGAUGGAGCUGGGGCUGUUCCGCUACCGCCUGGGGGAGCUGCAGACCCGGAUGCUCCCUGGUUCCAUGGGCUUCGUGGCUCAGCUGAAUGUGGAACGAGGGGUGCAGAGGAGGCGCCCCCAGAACAUCAGGAGCGUCAGGCAGGCCUUUGACCCCGAAGAGUUUAACUUCAACAAAAUCCGGCCGGGAGAAGUCCUCUUCCGUUUGCGCCGGGAGCCGGAUCCCCCGGGGGUUCUCCAGCAAGAGGGGGUCCUCCAGCAAGAGGAUAUCCUCGUGAUGAUCAACGUGAGCCCCCUGGAGUGGGGCCACGUGCUGCUGGUGCCCGAGCCCGCCCGGGGACUCCCCCAGCGCCUGCUGCCGGGUGCACUCCGGGCCGGGCUGGAGGCCGUGCUGCUGAGCUCACACCCGGGUUUUCGCGUCGGCUUCAACAGCCUGGGCGGCCUGGCCUCCGUCAACCACCUCCACCUGCACGGCUAUUACCUGCCCCACAGGCUGCCCGUGGAGGGGGCACCCAGUGAGCCCCUGGACCCUGGGGGCCGUUUGCACCUGCUGCAGGCUGUCCCAGCUCCCGGCUUCCUCUUUUACACCAGCGGGCCAGGCCCGGACUUAGAAGCCUUGAUAAGCAGGGUGUGUCGAGCCACGGACUAUCUGACUGCCCGUGAGAUUGCACACAACCUGUUCGUGACCCGGGGCGCACCACCUGGACAGACUUCCUUUUCCUCAGCGCUCACAGGGGUCCGGGUGAUCCUCUGGGCCCGGAAGUCCAGCUUUGGGGUGAAGGAGCAAGAGGCCUUCAAUGUUGCCCUUUGCGAGCUGGCCGGGCACCUCCCUGUGAAAACGCCCCAGGACUUCAGCAGCCUGACGGAGGCGGCCGCGCUGGCCCUCAUUCAGGACUGUCUGCUGCCCCCAGCGCAGGCAGAAGAGGUCCGGGCAGCACUGGUGGCCUUGACAGCCCAGGAGGAGCAAUAAUUAGGGCAUUGCCAUCACUGCUCUCUCACCGGGUCUUAGGCUCAGAGGAGGGAGCGAGAACUGAUAAACAUGGUCUCUUUCAAGAGGGGAUCCCUUGGAAUAAACCGAAUGAAUGCCCUCCUUCUAGCACAUUCUUCACCUGCCUGGCUACCUGGAAUUUUCCUCCAGCCCUAACAAACACAGAUGAGUACUCUUCCCA